UACGAAGGGGGCUAGCGUUGCUCGGAAUCACUGGGCGUAAAGGGUGCGUAGGCGGGUUUUUAAGUCAGGGGUGAAAUCCUGGAGCUCAACUCCAGAACUGCCUUUGAUACUGAAGAUCUUGAGUCCGGGAGAGGUGAGUGGAACUGCGAGUGUAGAGGUGAAAUUCGUAGAUAUUCGCAAGAACACCAGUGGCGAAGGCGGCUCACUGGCCCGGUACUGACGCUGAGGCCCGAAAGCGUGGGGAGCAAACAGG
rnacentral:rRNA from 1 species